UCAAUGACUGGAUCCAUCAGUUGGGCACGAA
rnacentral:piRNA from 1 species